UCCUCAGUAGCUCAGUGGUAGAGACGAUCGACUGUUAAUCGAUUGGUCGCUGGUUCGAAUCCAGCCUGGGGAG
rnacentral:tRNA from 1 species